rnacentral:rRNA from 1 species
GAUGAACGCUGGCGGCGUGCCUAAUACAUGCAAGUCGAGCGAACAGACGAGGAGCUUGCUCCUCUGACGUUAGCGGCGGACGGGUGAGUAACACGUGGAUAACCUACCUAUAAGACUGGGAUAACUUCGGGAAACCGGAGCUAAUACCGGAUAAUAUAUUGAACCGCAUGGUUCAAUAGUGAAAGACGGUUUUGCUGUCACUUAUAGAUGGAUCCGCGCCGCAUUAGCUAGUUGGUAAGGUAACGGCUUACCAAGGCAACGAUGCGUAGCCGACCUGAGAGGGUGAUCGGCCACCCUGGAACUGAGACACGGUCCAGACUCCUACGGGAGGCAGCAGUAGGGAACCGUCCGCAAUGGGCGAAAGCCUGACGGAGCAACGCGGCGUGAGUGAUGAAGGUCUUCGGAUCGUAAAACUCUGUUAUUAGGGAAGAACAAAUGUGUAAGUAACUAUGCACGUCUUGACGGUACCUAAUCAGAAAGCCACGGCUAACUACGUG